CAGAACUGCAAUACUGGUCCAAGUCUUGUCUUUUUUCUUUUUUUUCUUUUUUUUUCUUUUUUUAAAGCAAGAGAUAGAAUGAAAAUGCACCGAGUAAUCAGAAAGCACUAGGCAGGCAUCGGUUAAUCCAAGAUAGGAGCUUCUUAGUUCCAAAAGCACUCGCAUUGUAUGGAACCCAGGAUUUGGAUUGGCUGUGAUUUGCAACAACUAGUUGCAUGAAUCAUGAUGACUUUUUUAAUUUAUUUUUAAGAUGGUCACUGGUAAAUUCUUUUUUUUUUCCCCUCAAAUAUUACAGUUUCUUUAAUCCGUAUUUUUUUUUUUCCUCAAAGUAUAAAAAAGUAAGAAAUAUAAACAAACUCCAGCUUUGUACCCAGGAAAAGGUACAACUGAAGCAUUAGAGAGCUGACUAUCUAUACACUGUCAAAUCCCAUCAAAUCUUGGAUAAUUCAUUAAUAUACAAAAUAUCAGGGCACAGAAAGAACUAAAAUCCACUUUGUUACGCACAGGUUCAAAUAAUCAAUCUAAAGAAAAAACGUGAUCAUUUUGGCUUUCCACUACAUCCGCAUGUUGAGACACUUAUUAAAAUAACCUUGUUUAAUUGUGUUUGGUCUUUUCCUUAUUGUCAAGUCAUGUUUGUUAUCUUAAUACCGGCCAUCAGACAAACAAGUAAUCAGAAAGACUCCUCCCCACUUCCCUACCCCUGACCCCUGCGAGGUCAGCUUUAAGACAUAACUCCAAACACUGGGUUGUGACGACAGAUGCUAGGACCAAUUUCUUCAUAAUCUUUUUUGGUAUGGCAUACUUGGUAGAAUUCAGGUGUGGAAGCCAGCAUUGAUCCUCCAAACCAAACGGCAUAUCUUUGCAUAUGGUGUGUAAUGACUUGUACAUCAAUGGGCUUAGGCUUCAGUCUGCCACCACUAAGUUCUUCACUAAGUUUCAGUCUGGCAUCAACAGUUCUUUUCAAGUCUCGCUGUAAACGGCGCCCGAAGUCCCUGAACAUGGUUGAACCUCCAGAGAGGACAAUAUUCUUAUACAGAGGACGUCUAACAUCAAUGGGACAAUUCUGAAUAACUUCAUCUACUACUUCUGAGAUUGGUUGCGUGAAGUCAGGAUUAGCAAACUCAGGAUGGAAAAAUAUCUCUGGCCCCAGGAAUCUCUCAUAGCCAACAUCAAUGGUAAAUUCCUUCUUUGAGAUAGCAUUAAUUCCAGUAUACUGUUUAAUCCACUUUGUACCAUCUGUGUCAUACUUGUUAAAUUCUUUUACUAAGUCAGGGCAAACGUAACUAAAACGUUCCUUCACUGCUUUAGCUGUUUCCAAGGAUUGCUCAGGAGGAAUUCCUACUUCUCGCUCCCUCAGCAGCUGCUGAAUGAAGUAUGUUAUAUCUCGCCCUGCAAUUGGAAUGUGUUUGAUACAGCUGCCAAUCACGUAUCCUUCAGCCACAGGAAUGACAUGAGUGACACCAUCACCACUGUCUAUAACUGUGCCAGUCAGCGUCCGUUCUCCUACUUGUCUUGACGUCCAAGAUGCAGCUAAGGCAAGGACAGCCUGAACAGCAAUAUAUAGUCCUGGAACAUUGAAAGACUCAAACAUGAUUUCAGCAGUAUAUUCUCUAUUUUCUGGAGUAUUUAAUGGAGGUUCAGUCAAAAGAAAAUAAUGGUCCUCGGGUUCUGCCCUUAAAUACUUAAAGAUUACUUGCUCCAUAAACCUUUCCAUCAGGUCCCAGUCUUCAACUAUACCAUGGCGGAUGGGCCACUUGGUUGCGUAAGUUGGUUUUUCUAUUGCUUCAUCUCCAAUAAAGAAGUCUAAAUCAUCAACACCUUUCAAAACCCUUCGUUGUGCUUGAUCAACCACUUUUGCUGAUUCUUUGAUAGCAAUACAGGAAGGAAUAAUGAACUGUGGCUCAGUGUUACCGGCAUAUCCGAGCUUCGUAUACCCCGUGCCGCAGUCCACCACACAGGCCGGAAGCCGCCCUGCCAUGCUCCUCGGUAGCGACGGUGCUGGGGACGGCGGGCAGCCCUCGGCGCGCUCCGGCUUCGCUCGGCUCCGGCUCAGGGGGCGAGGGCACUUCCGCAAGGCGGACACUCCUCCUCCCCGCCCGCACGCACGGCCCGGCGAGCCCAAGAUGGCUGACCCGCCCCUCCCUGCGCGCAGCGGCGGAGAGGGCGGGCGCGACAAACCCUCGCUGACGUCCGAUCUCGUGGUCGCGCCCCUGCGCGGCGGUGCGAAGUGGAGCGGGCGGGAGGAUUUUUUUAAUCUCAAUUCCUGGCUGCCUGAGGGGCUCCAAGGAGGAAGUCGGGGAAGAGUGUAUUUUAAUGCCGGAAAGCUGAGAGAAGGCGGGGCAGGCUUCUGUGGUGGGAACAGAGUGCUAAAAAUGACAAGAGGAUGGUUUCCUGCAGCCUCUGCCAGUGACGGCUGUAGACAACUGCCCCUGCCAGGGCAUGGAGAGCCUUCCCCAUAGACGCUGUCAUCAAAGGGCAAAUGCAGAAGUCUCACUCUUUCUUCUGCUUUUUGGUGUUUCCAGAAGUGCUACAGAUGCUUCCUUCAGCACCGUUUACAGGCAAAACACUUCUGUGGGAGAGAACCAGGUGCAGCUGACUGCCCACCGUCCUGCUUCCCUUCUGACAUUUGAGUCCCUCAGGCAUCUCCUUGCCCAUAGGCAUCCAAAGGAGCGGCCUGAGGUCCCCUUCCCACCCUGCUGUCCACUAAAUAAGACCUCUGUGCUGCUAUCUCAAGUCACAAAGCGUGGGCAUUGCCCCAGUGGGCCCUCCCAGCAAAACCACAAAGGGAUCGAUGGCAUCCAUCCCCUCUUGGGUUUGGCCAUAGGCCUGGGGCAGUGCUUUGAGGCAGGCUGGGAGGCUGCUUCUGACUCAGGAUGGUGAGUUGCUAACAGUUUCCUGUACAAGAGGUACCACGCUGUUAUUUUCUGCUGAGUGUAGCUACAGUACGUGACUAAUUAGCCUCACCUCUAUCAGCCUUUCACACAUGCAACGUGUGUGCUCUUUCCCUUUCUGUUACCCGCUCUCUCUCGUAGGCAAAAGCACACAGACCUUCAAAUAAGAGUCGAUCAUACCCUUGUCCUCAACGGAGAUGGCAGAAAUGGCACGAACGGGUAAAUUAAAUCAAUAUAUUCUCAAACUGCAGGGCCAAUGGUGUUA
rnacentral:lncRNA from 1 species